UGUACCUCUAGUUCAUUGACAAUUGUGGCAGCAUCAUUUGUGACAAAAAGCUUGUCAAGAUGGUUAAUUACCAUCUUAUUCAUUCCAUUGGGACCAAGAGAAGUUCGAGUAAUGGUGGAGAGCUGUUUGCAGGCGUCAAUGUUCUUGAGGACAGCCUCAUCCAAGCCCGAGAGAUGCUUGUGGCCCUCUUUAAGCAUUGAUUGAAUCCCAUGAGACGGCAGCUGGAAACCCAUCUUAGUAUUCCUCUGAAAAGCCUGAAAUGAAACAGAGAUAAGAAGCUCUGAUUGCUGGGAGAGACGAGAGAGUGUGAGAGAGAAAGGCCGUGGGGUAUUUGGUCGGGAGGCUGAGACUGCGGCGGCUAGAGUGCAGAGUGCGACGGCAGCCGAUGAGACGGAGUGCGGGGUGCAG
rnacentral:misc_RNA from 1 species